rnacentral:rRNA from 1 species
CGACGCCGCGUGCACGAGGAAGGCCUUCGGGUCGUAAAGUGCUGUCGAGGGGGACGAUUAUGACGGUACCCCUGGAGGAAGCCCCGGCUAACUACGUGC